ensembl:rRNA 5S_rRNA 5S ribosomal RNA
CUUCACGGCCAUACCAACCUGGCUAUGCCCGAUCUCGUCUGAUCUCGGAAGCUAAGCAGGUUUGGGCCUGGUUAGUACUUGGAUGGGAGACCGCCUGGGAAUACCAGGUGCUGUAAGCU